rnacentral:rRNA from 1 species
CAGUAGCCGCGGGAAAACGGAGGGUGCAAGCGUUAUCCGGAUUUAUUGGGUUUAAAGGGUCCGUAGGCGGAUCUGUAAGUCAGUGGUGAAAUCUCACAGCUUAACUGUGAAACUGCCAUUGAUACUGCAGGUCUUGAGUAAAUUUGAAGUGGCUGGAAUGAGUAGUGUAGCGGUGAAAUGCAUAGAUAUUACUUAGAACACCAAUUGCGAAGGCAGGUCACUAAGAUUUAACUGACGCUGAUGGACGAAAGCGUGGGGAGCGAACAGGAUUAGAUACCCCUGUAGUCCCUGUCUCUUAUAC